rnacentral:misc_RNA from 2 species
UGUAGGAGUGAGCCUGCUCGCGAUAGCGGUGUGUCAGUUAACAUCAUCGUCAGCUGACACACCGCUAUCGCGAGCAGGCUCACUCCUACA